UACGGGGGGGGCAAGCGUUGUUCGGAAUUACUGGGCGUAAAGGGCUCGUAGGUGGCCAACUAAGUCAGACGUGAAAUCCCUCAGCUUAACUGGGGAACUGCGUCUGAUACUGGAUGGCUUGAGUUUGGGAGAGGGAUGCGGGAAUUCCAGGUGUAGCGGUGAAAUGCGUUGAUAUCAUCAGGAACACCGGUGGCGAAAGCGGCUUACUGGGUCUCUUCUGACGCUGAGGAACGAAAGCUAGGGUAGCGAACGGG
rnacentral:rRNA from 1 species